rnacentral:rRNA from 1 species
AAGGCGUUUCGGGUUGUAAACCCUUUCUAGUUGGGACGGAAGACUUCGCCGGUGAAUACGCCGGCCGGAGUGACGGUACCUUCACAAGAAGCACCGGCUAACUACGUGC